AUGGAAUAGUCCCAAACUGGAAAAUUUUGGCUUAGAGUUUGAUAGCUUUUAGACAUAUAUUAAGGCCAAAGUUCGUAGAUGAUACAAAAGCAAAAGCAAAAGCAAAAGGAUAUUUUUGAGGAAUUGAGUUAUAAAAGUAAAUAUUAGUUCCCUGACCCUCCCUCAACAUUAUAUAGUUAAAGAAAUAAAAGUCAUCCACCUCUGUUAUUACCACUAGGUUACAAAGCUUUAAUUUUCAUUGCUGUUUGAUUACAUGUACACUGAUUUUUUUUUUUACCUGGAAUAUUUCUACUUUAUUCUAUUUCCCACACAAUCAAAACCAGUUUCAUUUCUUUGUCUCCUUGUUAGAUUAUUUUGAGGGCCUGGAAGAGGUGGGCAAGAUGCUAUUUUAGUACAUUGACCUCAGCCGAUGGUUUGGGACUGCGCGAGUAAAAAUGAAUGCAUCAGUCACUAAAAAGAGAAGUGCAGUUUAAUUCACCUGAUGUCAAACACAAGCUCUGUUAAAUCUAUUUGGACUUAAUUGCAAAUUUCAGUCUUUCUAUACAGUGUAGUUAUCUGAACAUCUUGCCAUUAAAAUUAAGUGCAAGUGAAUUUUGACAUAUUCACUUUCCUUUGUAAUAAAUGAAAGGUAGUAUUUUUAUUUUGAAAUAUUUAUAGUAUGAAUUACCAAAAUGGUAUUUUUUCUCCUAUUCUAAUAAAUCUGUUUUUACAUAAGUGCUAGAGGUUAAUGGCUAGAUUUUAAAUUGCUUUCCAUUUUGAUAGUAAGUAGAUUUCUAAGAGAUGAUUUUAUUAAAGAGAUUUUAGUCACUCUGAUUUUCUCUUUAUGAGGAUGGUUCAUAUGUGCACAAACUCAACUGUAAAAUAUGAAGCCUAAUCAGAAUUUUUCUAAAAACAUAGCUAUGAAUAUUAUUUUGAAAGGACUUUCUUUUUUCUAAUAAUGCAAUUUUAUGCCCCUUUCAGAUAGGUCUUUUUUCUACAAAGAUUGUAUGCUUUUUCUCUGAGUCAUGUAACACCUCUCAAAAGUGAAUAAGGGGAGUCGUCCCACUGAAAAUUAACUUUGAAUUAAUUCGCUGUAACUGUGAUCAAAUAUUGAUCAGUUUUCUUUAUUUUGUGCAUGGUUGCAAAGUGAGAAAUAGAAUGCAAACCCUCAAAUAUUAAUUCAGUUACAUUGAAAAAAUUAAACUAGUUACACAAAGGCAUAAAAUAAAAAUACCGAACACCUGAUAUUCUGUGAAUGUUAUUUAUUGUUGUCCUAUACUAAUUUCAUUGUUGUUUAUGAUGUUUUUAAAGAGCCAUAAUUUUAGCUAUUUUGAAGGGUCUACUAAAUUCAGAAUUAGUAUUGAAAAAUGAAAUGUAAAUACCUAGAUCUUCGAUAGCAAAGUAAUUAAAAUGUAUGGUUUUGCCUACUGUGUAUAAUAAGGGCUUAUAUUUGAUCAACCAUAAAGUUAUUUAAUCAUUUUAACCUUGGAAUACUACCCCACAAAACACUACUUAAUGGAAGUUAGCUGAGACGCAUUAAGGUAUCAAAACAUCAGGUCGGCAAAGCCAGAGGGCCCAGAAAAUUCAUGCCCAGCUCACUCGGACAUAAUGCCAUAGUAGGUUGCGUGGCAACCGGUGACUGUGGAUUUUGAAGUUACUUUAUCCGCAUUCAAUGAGGAAUGACUUAGCCUGAAUUCAUUUUUGUAAUUUCCAAAAUUAAUGAAGUAUUUGAGAAUUCUUUUAAUAGCCAUUUUCUAGGUUCCUACAGUUUAGAAAUCCACGUGUACACAUCCGGUUCACAGAAGAGCACUGGUUACUGCUUUCCUGGUUACUUAUUAAUGACACAUGUUAAAUGCCUACUGACAGAUUCGCCAUGUCCUGUAACUCACUGGUUAUCGUCCAGAAUUUCAACACAACUUACUUUAAGAGAUUUGCUGUUGACUCCAUCACUGUCAGUUAUGACAUAAGAACGCUUUUUAAAAUUUUCAAUUUAUAUCUAUUUUUGCUAUAAGCUGCCAUUACCUUACUAUCAGGUAGUUCCCCAGCUUUAUGACAAACAGAGAUUUUUGGUUGCUGUUUUUAUUGUUAAGAAUAAAAUAAUGUCACUAAAUGUCAAUUAUAUCAGCCAUAUUUUAGAUUGGAUGGGGAAAUAGAAAGUAUUUCUAUUUUACACAAUUUAUUUUGCCUAGUUUUGUCUUGGGAUAGAAGAAAAGAACAGAAGAGUUGGCUAUAACUAGUGUUUGAAGUAUAUUUUCAGACAUUUGACAAGCAAACAUCAUAUUUCGUUAGGAUUUUUUACUUGGCAAAAGAUAUAAAUUUCUGAUAUGUUAUUAUUGAGUCAGUUCUGUUGAUAUUUCUUUGAAUUAGUAAUUAUGUGGAUCUGAUUAUGUGAAAUCUCCUACCUUUUAAUUUAUUUGUUUCUGUCUGUUAAUAGAUGAAUUAAACUAGAGUUAUUCUAAAGGUAUAAUAUAAACCUGUCUUUGAAUAACUUAAAAUAAAAGUAAACUUACUACGCUGUGUAAAGUAAUCCUGUAUAACCAAACUAAAAUGGAAACAAAAAGGUCUUUGAAUCACAGAGGCCAAAACAUUUUCAAAUAAAUCUGCUAAACAAAAUACGUACCAUGAUGCCAUCUUCCAAUGUUAUCAUUAGAUGUCACGUCUUAAACAGCAGAGAAUUAGUGAUUAAAAUAUGCAUCAUUCAGUGCUACAAAAUACAUGUCUGGAAAUUCAUCCUUCAGGAAUGUGCGAAUAUUGUCUGAAAAGACAGUUUUCAUGGUGAUGAUUGCAAAGCUACUGCCAUGAAGAACAGAGUCAACCAGGAACGGCAGUUCUUCCUUUAAAAUGAAGCGUAGGUGUUUGCAUCAGAGGUGUUUCUGUGUGAGCAUAAAGAGGAAUCACCAGUCAGACAUUCCAGGUUUGAUUUACUUGCUCUGUGGCAGUCUUUCUUCCCACAGCGUUUCUAGACUUCAGUGGAUUUAACUCUUGAUCACUCAUUUUAUAAUCAGCAGUCUGGAAUAAAAUGUAACAUAAUUAAAACAUCUUGGAUUGUGUGACAUUUCACAAAUAAAUUCCAAACAGAACUGGUUAUCAAAUCACAGCUGUAGUAUGAAUAAAUGUGUCGUACAAUGUUGUUCAUUAUUUGACAGGAAGUGUCUGUUCAGCUUCUUUGAGGGCUGCUUCUGCAUGUUUGUUUUGUAUUUGCUGUUAUUGUUUUGCUUUGUUUUGAACAA